GGUUAAGUGAAUAAGCGUAUACGGUGGAUGCCUAGGCAGUUAGAGGCGAUGAAGGACGUGUAAGUCUGCGAUAAGCGUUGGGAAGCUGACAAAACGCGUUAUACCCAACGAUUUCCGAAUGGGGCAACCCAGGUCUUCGGACCUAUCUGCAUCUGAAUACAUAGGGUGUAGAAGCAAACGCAGGGAACUGAAACAUCUAAGUACCUGUAGGAAGAGAAAUCAAUUGAGAUUCCCCUAGUAGCGGCGAGCGAACGGGGAACAGCCGAAUCAGCAUGAUGUAGUGGAACAAGUUGGGAAGCUUGGCGAUACAGGGUGAUAGCCCCGUACACGACGUAUCAUGUUGGUCAUAUUAAGUAGGUCGGGACACGUGUUAUCUUGACUGAAGAUGGGGGGACCAUCCUCCAAGGCUAAAUACUCCUAACUGACCGAUAGUGAACCAGUACCGUGAGGGAAAGGCGAAAAGAACCCCUGUGAGGGGAGUGAAAUAGAACCUGAAACCGUAUACGUACAAGCAGUGGGAGC
rnacentral:rRNA from 1 species